AGUGAACGCUGGCGGUAGGCCUAACGCAUGCAAGUCGAACGGCAGCACAGUAAGAGCUUGCUCUUACGGGUGGCGAGUGGCGGACGGGUGAGGAAUACAUCGGAAUCUACUUUUUCGUGGGGGAUAACGUAGGGAAACUUACGCUAAUACCGCAUACGACCUACGGGUGAAAGCAGGGGAUCUUCGGACCUUGCGCGAUUGAAUGAGCCGAUGUCGGAUUAGCUAGUUGGCGGGGUAAAGGCCCACCAAGGCGACGAUCCGUAGCUGGUCUGAGAGGAUGAUCAGCCACACUGGAACUGAGACACGGUCCAGACUCCUACGGGCGGCAGCAGUGGGGAAUAUUGGACAAUGGGCGCAAGCCUGAUCCAGCCAUACCGCGUGGGUGAAGAAGGCCUUCGGGUUGUAAAGCCCUUUUGUUGGGAAAGAAAAGCAGCAGGUUAAUACCCCGCUGUUCUGACGGUACCCAAAGAAUAAGCACCGGCUAACUUCGUG
rnacentral:rRNA from 1 species